GCAGUCGACGAGCUUCCGUUGAUGACGUGCUUGCACUGAUUUCAACAAUGAAGCGAGUGGCGAACUGGUGAGUAACACGUGGGGAAUCUGCCCAGAAGCAGGGGAUAACACUUGGAAACAGGUGCUAAUACCGUAUAACAACAAAAUCCGCAUGGAUUUUGUUUGAAAGGUGGCUUCGGCUAUCACUUCUGGAUGAUCCCGCGGCGUAUUAGUUAGUUGGUGAGGUAAAGGCCCACCAAGACGAUGAUACGUAGCCGACCUGAGAGGGUAAUCGGCCACAUUGGGACUGAGACACGGCCCAAACUCCUACGGGAGGCAGCAGUAGGGAAUCUUCCACAAUGGACGAAAGUCUGAUGGAGCAAUGCCGCGUGAGUGAAGAAGGGUUUCGGCUCGUAAAACUCUGUUGUUAAAGAAGAACACCUUUGAGAGUAACUGUUCAAGGGUUGACGGUAUUUAACCAGAAAGCCACGGCUAACUACGUGCCAGCAGCCGCGGUAAUACGUAGGUGGCAAGCGUUGUCCGGAUUUAUUGGGCGUAAAGCGAGCGCAGGCGGUUUUUUAAGUCUGAUGUGAAAGCCUUCGGCUUAACCGGAGAAGUGCAUCGGAAACUGGGAGACUUGAGUGCAGAAGAGGACAGUGGAACUCCAUGUGUAGCGGUGGAAUGCGUAGAUAUAUGGAAGAACACCAGUGGCGAAAGGCGGCUGUCUAGUCUGUAACUGACGCUGAGGCUCGAAAGCAUGGGUAGCGAACAGGAUUAGAUACCCUGGUAGUCCAUGCCGUAACGAUGAGUGCUAAGUGUUGAGGGUUUCGGCCCUUCAGUGCUGCAGCUAACGCAUUAGCACUCCGCUGUGAGUACGACGCAGUGAACUCAAGAUGACGGGGGCC
rnacentral:rRNA from 2 species